CACGUAGGGUGCAAGCGUUGUCCGGAAUUAUUGGGCGUAAAGGGCUCGUAGGCGGCGCGGUAAGUCGGGUGUGAAAUCUCGGAGCUUAACUCCGAAACUGCAUUCGAUACUGCCGUGCUUGAGGACUGGAGAGGAGACUGGAAUUUACGGUGUAGCGGUGAAAUGCGUAGAUAUCGUAAGGAAGGCCGGUGGCGAAAGCGAGCCUCUGGACAGUUACUGACGCUGAUGCACGAAGGCCAGGGGAGCAAACGGG
rnacentral:rRNA from 1 species